rnacentral:tRNA from 1 species
GCCGGGGUGGCGAAACUGGCAGACGCACAGGACUUAAAAUCCUGAGGGCUCAAAAGGCCCGUGUGGGUUCGAUUCCCACCCCCGGCA